rnacentral:rRNA from 1 species
GCUACACAGCGAUGUGAUGCUAAUCUCAAAAAGCCGAUCGUAGUCCGGAUUGGAGUCUGCAACUCGACUCCAUGAAGUCGGAAUCGCUAGUAAUCGCGGAUCAGAAUGCCGCGGUGAAUACGUUCCCGGGCCUUGUACACACCGCCCGUCACACCAUGGGAGUUUGUUGCACCAGAAGUAGCUAGCCUAACUGCAAAGAGGGCGGUUACCACGGUGUGGCCGAUGACUGGGGUGAAGUCGUAACAAGGUAGCCGUAGGGGAACCUGCGGCUGGAUCACCUCCUUAACGAA